AUUGAACGCUGGCGGCAUGCCUUACACAUGCAAGUCGAACGGCAGCACGGGUGCUUGCACCUGGUGGCGAGUGGCGAACGGGUGAGUAAUACAUCGGAACGUACCUUAUCGUGGGGGAUAACGCAGCGAAAGCUGUGCUAAUACCGCAUACGCCCUGAGGGGGAAAGCGGGGGAUCGCAAGACCUCGCGCGAUUAGAGCGGCCGAUGCCUGAUUAGCUUGUUGGUGGGGUAAAAGCCCACCAAGGCGACGAUCAGUAGCUGGUCUGAGAGGACGAUCAGCCACACUGGGAUUGAGACACGUCCGAGACUCCUACGGGAGGCAGCAGUGGGGAAUUUUGGACAAUGGGGGCAACCCUGAUCCAGCAAUGCCGGAUGUGCGAAGAAGGCCUUCGGGUUGUAAAGCACUUUUGUCAGGGAAGAAAUCUUUUGGGCGAAUACCCCGGAAGGAUGGCGGUACCUGAUGAAUAAGCACCGGCUAACUACGUGCCAGCCGCCGCAGUAA
rnacentral:rRNA from 1 species